GAUGAACGCUAGCUACAGGCUUAACACAUGCAAGUCGAGGGGAAACGAUAGAGAAAGCUUGCUUUUUCUAGGCGUCGACCGGCGCACGGGUGAGUAACGCGUAUCCAACCUGCCCAUCACUUGGGGAUAACCUUGCGAAAGUAAGACUAAUACCCAAUGACGUCUCUAGAAGACAUCUGCAAGGGAUUAAAGAUUUAUCGGUGAUGGAUGGGGAUGCGUCUGAUUAGCUUGUUGGCGGGGUAACGGCCCACCAAGGCGACGGUCAGUAGGGGUUCUGAGAGGAAGGUCCCCCAAAUUGGAACUGAGACACGGUCCAAACUCCUACGGGAGGCAGCAGUGAGGAAUAUUGGUCAAUGGACGAGAGUCUGAACCAGCCAAGUAGCGUGCAGGAUGACGGCCCUAUGGGUUGUAAACUGCUUUUAUAAGGGAAUAAAGUGAGAGUCGUGACUCUUUUUGCAUGUACCUUAUGAAUAAGGACCGGCUAAUUCCGUGCCAGCCGCCGCAGUAA
rnacentral:rRNA from 1 species